rnacentral:rRNA from 1 species
UAGGGAAUCUUCCGCAAUGGGCGAAAGCCUGACGGAGCAACGCCGCGUGAGUGAUGAAGGUCUUCGGAUCGUAAAACUCUGUUAUUAGGGAAGAACAGAUGUGUAAGUAACUAUGCACGUCUUGACGGUACCUAAUCAGAAAGCCACGGCUAACUACGUGCCAGCAGCCGCGGUAAUACGUAGGUGGCAAGCGUUAUCCGGAAUUAUUGGGCGUAAAGCGCGCGUAGGCGGUUUUUUAAGUCUGAUGUGAAAGCCCACGGCUCAACCGUGGAGGGUCAUUGGAAACUGGAAAACUUGAGUGCAGAAGAGGAAAGUGGAAUUCCAUGUGUAGCGGUGAAAUGCGCAGAGAUAUGGAGGAACACCAGUGGCGAAGGCGACUUUCUGGUCUGUAACUGACGCUGAUGUGCGAAAGCGUGGGGAUCAAACAGG